GCUUAAUAUAGUAUUAGACACCACAAACUCAUAACACCUAUGAAUCAUGGCACAGACCGACUCGAUUUCUGUAGCCUCUGGCUGGUCUGUGUGCCUGGAAUUUUCACAAACAUUAGUCCUGGAAACUGGAUACUCUAUUCUUCGACAGUCUCAUAGAACAUACGCAUGGAGACAGGGAUGAAUGAAACAGUUCUUGUGAUCAAGGACUUUUGUGUGUUUGUGGUCACAUUGUUUUGUUUUUUCUUUCUUUAUACCAUUAGCCACCUUGACGUAACAGUGUCCUGCUCCUGAUGCAUUUGUUCCAACUCUCACCACUCUUAGCUGCAAUAUUUUUUCUCCUUACAGCAACAGUUGAGCAUAGUGUCCAGUGCUUCUUCUUCUUCAGCUUAAAAUAUCCUUGCUUGAAAGUUCUUGAAUGAAAACACAGGCAAUGACGAACACAAACAUAAAUAAUAACUGUGCCAAUCAUCACAAGUACCAUUUGACUGUGGUGUCUUAACCAUAUUUUUUCCUAUGGCGUUUGGAUAAAUACCUACACACCUCUCUUCACAUCCAGCACACUCCUGAUUCACAGAUAAACACAAUAUCACUGCUGUAUCUACCAAUUUAACCCAAACACUCGUUAUUACUGCUGCAUACCAAUUUAAUCUAAACACUCGUUAUCACUGCUGUAUUUAACCAAUUUAAUCUAAACAUUAACCAAAACAAUUACAUUCCUAUUUACCACCCUUCUAUUUAAACAUGUAUAGAUAACCCAAAAUGCCUACUUUCUCUUAUCCCUCUUAUCAUACUUCCGUUUUUUGUUUUUUUUGAACUGCAACCACUCAUGCACUUUACACAGACACAAAUCAAGCACCUACUGGACAAUGGGG